rnacentral:lncRNA from 1 species
AUGAGAUGGAACUGUCCCACGCAUGUUCUCUGGGGCAGAAACGGCUGCGGAGCCUGCCGAGGCCACUCUUGCCGGCUGGCCAGGGCACAGCGUCUGACCCAGGAGGCUGUGACCUCGCUGCCCCAGGCCUGGCAUGGCCUGUGGACAGUGGCCUGUCCCACCAGCCACCAGGAACCUCCCUUCAGUGCCCACCCCAUCCACCUCGCCAAGACUGAUCUAGAAAUUAUUUAUAGAUCCAAACUCCACAGAAACCAUUGUGUCUGCUGUUGCCAUGGCAAUGGGGAUGUGGCAGGAGCGCCAGGCUCUCAGGCUUUCCAGGGCCCGUGGAGGCCGGCAAGGGCGGUCGAUUUCUACCAGGAGCCCCUGACUCACACCCGCCGUCAGAGACCCCCCGGGAGCGAAGAAGACAGGCUUCCCACCCUUUUCCAGCAGGGCUGGCUGCAUCCAGGAAGACAGCGCUGCUGGGAGGCAGCAAAUACAAGAUACGGUCCACUUUUACCUUUUUCCCCGCUCAGAAAAUAAAGAUGCCACAGCCAGGCUUCUGCACCUUACUUUUCUCACUAAAUGCUAUUUUCCAAAGCUGUCACCAAAUUCGCCGCUUCUUUAUUUUUUUUCUUGUACGGCGGCGCAGCGUGGGUUCCCUCCUAUGGGUGGGUGUGCCAAGGAAUCUGCUUGCGUAACCAGACCUUUUUCCUAGGAGCAGUUGCCCAGACGCAGCUCUAGGAUGAGGGUGGGUUUGCAGUGACUAUUCAGGGAGUACUCCCUGGGGACACAGGUUGGGGGUGGGACGCUGAACUGGAAAAAGAAGGAAGCCGGGCAGGGUGCUAUGUGGGCACAGUCCUUCCGCAGCCUGAAGGAGCUGGGGCGGGCGGGGCAUGCCCAACCCCGCAGGGGAAUUGUGGAGGGUCAAUCACACCCUGGGAUGUCCCAGCCUGAGACCAGGGAGCUGGGGGCUUCAUAUACCCAUCCAGAACCCACCUGUCUUUGGUUAAGGGCGGUCUAGGAAGGUCUAAAUUCCCAGGCAUUUCCAUACAUGAAGGCGAAGCGGCUUCGGGGAGCCCACGGGCCACCCUCUAAACCAGAGGUCUCCAACCUCUGGGCCAGGGCAGGAGGUGAGCAGCAGGUGAGUGAGCAAAGCUUCAUCUGUAUUUACAGCUGCUGCCCAUGGCUCACGUUAAUACCUGAGCUCCGCCUCCUGUCAGAUCAGUGGCGGGCUUAGAUUCUCAGAGGAGCGUGGACCCUAUUGUGAGCUGCAUAUGUGACAGAUCUAGGUUGCACGCUGCUUAUGAGAAUCUAAUGCCUGAUAAUCUGUCACACGGCAGUGACCGGCAAGGACACACAUCCCUUCCCACAUGAAGCUUACACUCCAGACCAGCGUUGCCCAAUAGAGCUUUCUGCAGUAAUGGAAUGUUCUAGAUCUGCAUUGUCCAAUGUGGUGACCACUAGUCCCAUGUGGCUGUUGAGGCUUUGAAAUACGGCUGGUACUGGUUUGUGGCCUGUUAGAAACUUGGCUGCACAGCAGGAGGUGAGUGGCAGGUGACUGAGUGAAGCUUCCUCUGUAUUUACAGCCGCUGCCCAUCGCUGGCAUUACGGCCUGAGCUCCCCCUCCGGUCAGAUCAGCUGCAGCGUUAGAUUCUCAUAGGAAUGCGAACCCUGUUGUGAACUGUCAUUCGAGAAAUCUAGGUUGUGCGCUUCUUACGAGAAACUAAUGUCCGACGAUCUGUCACUGUCUCCCGUCACCCCCAGAUGGGAUUGUCCAGUUGCAGGAAAGCCAGCUCAGGGCUCCCACUGAUUCUACAUUAUAGUGAGUUGUAUAAUUAUUUCUUUAUAUAUUACAAUGUAAUAACAAUAGAAAUAAAGUGCACAGUAAGUGUAACACGUUGAAUCAUCCUGAAACCAUUCAUCCUGCCUGGUCCAUGGAAAAAUUGUCUUCCGUGAAACCGGUCCCUGGUGCCAAGAAGUUUGGGAACCACUGCUUUCAGCAGCUGCUGGUGCUGGCUGGUGGAGGUAUAAACCCUCGAAGCUUUGGAGUGCACAAAAAUGGUAAAAAGGGAUCCAGGGAUCCGGCAGGGGCCCUGUGGUUAUCCAAUACAUGUUUCCAAUGGAUUCUGUUACAACUGGUUCUGACGGGAGCUGCCCUGGCUUAGAGACAAUUCGUGAGCAAAUUAUCACCCAUGUACUCAGCACUUCCAUGAACCAGGCCCCGGCUAGACCAAGGAGUCCCAGGUGUGUGGACCCCAGCGCGUUUCCUCCACGGGUGUGGCACUGGGCAGGAGAGGGCCGAGGGCCCCUGCAGCUGGAGGUAGCUGGUGGCCCCUGUGUGCUCGCAGCCCUGCUGCAGCUUCCUCAGAAAUGACACGACCUCACUGCACCUCCUGACCUUGAGGUGCACUGAGAAGCACUGCAGAGGACACUCUGCUCAUCAAGUUUUAUUUCUCUGUUUGUGCAUUCAGCACAAAAUAUGUGUAUUGGUGUAAUAGACUUUGUAACACGUUUCCAACGUUUUUUCUACAAAGUUUCAGGUCUUUCCCAUAAGCAGAGCCCUUGAAGGUGCUGGCACAGAUUCCACGAUCUGAGGCCUCCUAACGGCCUCUGGAGCCCCUUUCUGGCACUUCCCACUUAGAGCUGCCGCGCAUGGUCUGAAAAUCAUCCUAAAAAUGGAACCUUACGCUCAGGCAGGCACCGCACGGUUCUGUGUGAGUCGCGUGCUUCUCAGCGCGAUUUCACUUUCCUGCAUCCUGCUCGUGCCUUCACCCACUGUACCUCGCUCGCG